GACGAACGCUGGCGGCGUGCUUAACACAUGCAAGUCGAACGGUAAGGCCCUUCGGGGUACACGAGUGGCGAACGGGUGAGUAACACGUGGGUGAUCUGCCCUGCACUUCGGGAUAAGCCUGGGAAACUGGGUCUAAUACCGGAUAGGACUCCUGGCUUCAUGGUUGGGGGUGGAAAGCUUUUGCGGUGUGGGAUGGGCCCGCGGCCUAUCAGCUUGUUGGUGGGGUAAUGGCCUACCAAGGCGACGACGGGUAGCCGGCCUGAGAGGGUGACCGGUCACACUGGGACUGAGAUACGGCCCAGACUCCUACGGGAGGCAGCAGUGGGGAAUAUUGCACAAUGGGCGCAAGCCUGAUGCAGCGACGCCGCGUGAGGGAUGGCGGCCUUCGGGUUGUAAACCUCUUUCAGCUAUGACGAAGCGCAAGUGACGGUAGUAGCAGAAGAAGGACCGGCCAACUACGUGCCAGCAGCCGCAGUAA
rnacentral:rRNA from 1 species